AGUCCUCAAGAAUGGCAACGCAUGGGGAGUAUCAUGGGCGAAACAGUGUACUCUGUUAUGUCCAUGGUACUGCUCAUGUUUAUAGGUGACAGUUACCACUUUCCAUUAGGUGGGUCGUCAGCUUGUUUGCCAUUACAAGUUGCAUAAAAAAAGGUUUAAUAUAAUAGUAAAUGCAGAGUGGCUAAAUUCAUAAUACGAUCUAACAGGACACAGGCUUGUAAGGCAGACAUUACUCAAGAUGGGAAUAGCUUUAAGCACACUGCACACAUAAUAUAGAGGAUCUGCAUUGUGAAAUUUGACCCAAUGGAAUAUUAUAUGUGAAACUAUGACUGCGCAAGCAUGCGUAUCCUUGUUGUAGCUUAUCUGAAAUUUACUGGUGCAGUUAAUCCUUACCAAUAGUAUAAACUAGCUGUAUCCCGCGACUCCGCCCGCAUCAUUCAGUAAACCAAAUUCAUCAAUUGCGACUACUUUGUGAGCUCAGUGGUGUAACAUAGGUGUUUCUUGAAGAGUUAAACAUUAUAUUUCGGAGAGAACAUUCAGAAAAAAGCAACUCUAAUGGAUCCACCUCAGUGCCAUUGUACCUCUAUUCGGCUACCAUGUCCGCAACACACGUAAUUGCAUUCAGCCGUUUCUAAUUACUGAAGUUUGCUUCGCUUGUUUUUCCUACGCUGUCUUUAUUGAGUUUCCCGAUUUCGAAGUGUCGCUUGAAUUGCGGCGUUUUGUUUUUAUAAAAGGAUGGGCAUUUUGUUCUUUAGUCGAUUGCCAAUUUCACUUGUUUUAAUUAUUACGAGUACAGU